rnacentral:misc_RNA from 1 species
GAUGAAGAACGUAGCGAAAUGCGAUAAGUAAUGUGAAUUGCAGAAUUCAGUGAAUCAUCGAGUCUUUGAACGCACAUUGCGCCGCCUGGUAAUCCGGGGGGCAUGCCUGUCCGAGCGUCAUUGCCGCCCUCAAGCACGGCUUGUGUGUUGGGCCCCCGCCCCCCGGCUUCGGGGGGCGGGCCCGAAAGGCAGCGGCGGCACCGCGUCCGGUCCUCGAGCGUAUGGGGCUUCGUCACCCGCUCCGUAGGCCCGGCCGGCGCCCGCCGGCGACCCCAAUCAAUCUUUCCAGGUUGACCUCGGAUCAGGUAGGGAUACCCGCUGAACUUAAGCAUAUCAAUAAGCGGAGGA